CCUACGGGUGGCAGCAGUAGGGAAUCUUCCACAAUGGGCGAAAGCCUGAUGGAGCAACGCCGCGUGGGUGAAGAAGGUCUUCGGAUCGUAAAAUCCUGUUGUUAGAGAAGAAAGUGCGUGAGAGUAAUUGUUCACGUUUCGACGGUAUCUAACCAGAAAGCUCCGGCUAACUACGUGCCAGCAGCUGCGGUAAUACGUAGGUGGCUAGCAUUAUCCGGAUUUAUUGGGUAUAAAGGGUACGCAGGCGGUCUUUUAAGUCUGAUGUGAAAGCUUUCGGCUUAACCGGCAUAGUACAUUGGAAACUGGGAGACUUGAGUGCAGAAGAGGAAAAUGGAACUCCAUGUGUAGCAGUGAAAUGCGUAGAUAUGUGGAGGAACACCAGUAGCGAAGGCGGCUCUCUGGUCUGUAACUGACGCUGAGGUUCGAAAGCGUAGGGAGCAAACAGGAUUAGAUACCCUAGUAGUC
rnacentral:rRNA from 1 species